GAUGAACGCUGACAGAAUGCUUAACACAUCAGCAAUUGAUUGGUGGCGGACGGGUGAGUAACGCGUAAAGAACUUGCCUCACAGCUAGGGACAACAUUUAGAAAUGAAUGCUAAUACCUGAUACUGUGAGAGAGCUUUGCGUCCCAUUAGCUAGUUGGAGAGGUAACAGCUCACCAAGGCGAUGAUGGGUAGCCGGCCUGAGAGGGUGAACGGCCACAAGGGGACUUAGAGACGGCUAGUGCUCCUACGGGAGGCAGCAGUGGGUAAUAUUGGACAAUGUACUGAAGUCGGAUCAAGCAAUUCUGGUGGCACGAUGAAGUUGUCGGAAUGUAAAGUGCUUUCAGUUGGGAAGCGGUACCAACAGAAGAAGUGACGGCUAAAUACGUGCCAGCAGCCGCGGUAAUUC
rnacentral:rRNA from 1 species